rnacentral:rRNA from 1 species
ACUCCUACGGGAGGCAGCAGUGGGGAAUAUUGCACAAUGGGCGCAAGCCUGAUGCAGCCAUGCCGCGUGUAUGAAGAAGGCCUUCGGGUUGUAAAGUACUUUCAGCAGUGAGGAAGGCAGGUACGUUAAUAGCGUGCUUGUUUGACGUUAGCUGCAGAAGAAGCACCGGCUAACUCCGUGCCAGCAGCCGCGGUAAUACGGAGGGUGCGAGCGUUAAUCGGAAUUACUGGGCGUAAAGCGCAUGCAGGUGGUUUGUUAAGUCAGAUGUGAAAGCCCGGGGCUCAACCUCGGAAUUGCAUUUGAAACUGGCAGGCUAGAGUCUUGUAGAGGGGGGUAGAAUUUCAGGUGUAGCGGUGAAAUGCGUAGAGAUCUGAAGGAAUACCAGUGGCGAAGGCGGCCCCCUGGACAAAGACUGACGCUCAGAUGCGAAAGCGUGGGGAGC